UGCUGGUAUCCAUAUAGAGCCGCCUGAUCAGAGCACUGAGAUCACUGAUGUGCUAGCACCUUAUAGAUCUUGCUUCUCAUCUAUGGAUCUUGAUCUCUUCUUCCAGAUCUUGAAGAAACAGAUCAUUGUGUGAAUUCUUUCACGCAGAUCCGACGGGAUCUGAAUCAGAUCACCAUGAAGAGAAGAAAAUUUUUUUUCUUCUCUUCUUCUCUCUCUUUUUCUCUCUUAGAUCUGAUCUCUAUCAGAUCUGGGCAUGAACAUGAAGUGGAGA
rnacentral:lncRNA from 1 species